UGUGAAAAUGAAAUGCGGCUGUGGACAAGAUUAAAGAUUAUCACAAAUAAAAAAAAUUUGGUUUCUAAAAUUUAUCUAACUCUACCUUUUAUGGCAGAUGAAAACAAAACCAAACCCCUAAACCACAAACCCCACCUCAUUGUAUGUGAGUUGACUUUUACUCCUUCGGACUGUUGGCUGACCAAGUAAGAAGAUAGACUGAUAUUAACUCUCUCAUGCUGAGUUUUUCAUGUUCCUUAAGUGAAGGAAGGGCUGCACCACUGAACCUCUUUGCAAAGAGGCCACACGCGUCACAGCAGACAGCGGUUGCAGUGUGAAGCACCAUCCUUACCGUCUGAAGAGGGAACAAGACGACUCUUAUCAUUAAUAAACUUCUUUUGAAGCCACUCCACCACAGCUGCAGUGCAAAAAAGACCUUAAAGUACUCAGGAAUUCCAGAGCCAUGGUUCAACUGAGUCGAGUCAUGAAGUUUUCUCGGCAUCAAGAGAUGUGAUCUAUGACCAGGUAAAAUCCUCAUUCAUUCUAUUAGGCAGCAUAUACCACAGUAUUUUGCAGCCAAAAUAUUUCACAGUUCUGUUUUCAGGAUCUGUAAUUAAGAAUGGAACUGUGCACACUGAGGGCUGCAGGGUAAGAGCUUUCACUGCUCACCCAUUGUUUGUCCACUGACUGCAAACACCUUGUCGCUCAUCCAGAUUCCGAUCACCCUCACCUACCCUGUUGGGCAAGUGAACAUUUACUUUCUGUUUCAUGUCCAUACCUACAUGAGUCAAAUUUCUGACAAGUCCAUGUUGCAUUUCUUCCCUGGUCUGGGCUCUUCUGAAUCACACUCUUUCUGCCCUUUAGAAGUGAUCUGCAUCACUAGUCAGAAGAACACUUAUUUCUAAGUGGAACUUUAUGCCGAAUGUUUUAAUUCCUUACAUUCAAGACGCUGGUGAACAGUACAGCGAGGUUUCAUGCUUGCUGAAGGAGCGUGGUAGGAAACACCUUGUCAGAAACUCAUCUGUGCACCUGGCAGCAUCCCAACAGAGACCCAAUGGGGAAGAGCCCAUCCAGCAUUAUGGGCUGUUGAACUGUGUACCCCCUUCUAGCAACGUGCCAAGCCUGGGGCUGGACUGCUCUUCCUGAUGCUAUGAGCACUGCUGGCUUCUGUAACGAUACCCAUAAAAUAAUUCAUAGUAAUUGCAACAUCACUGCUAAAAAUGAUGAUGGUGCAUGAGAAAAAAGAAAGAUCUUCACCAUGAAAAGUUGUAGGCAAGCAUUAUGGAUGUUUAAGGUUUUUAAGGUGGCAAGAUGAGAAAAUGUAAGCUAGUGACAACAAUCCUUUAAAGCAUGGAGAGGGAAAGCUGGUAGUUCUAGCCACAGUGCUGCAGUUUAAAGUAUAUAGUUCAAAAUAUAAAAAACUGUUUUAUAAUACAGAUGCAUAAAACACACAUUUCUUGGUCAGUGGUGAUUUUUAAAGAGGAAAGUAAUUGCAAUCCUAAGCUUUUCACUGAAUGGAACUAUUUCUGUGUCAUUAUUCCUCGUACAACAGCUCUUUGGCUGACCUAGAGUACUACCUCCUUACAGAGACUGAGCUGAUGCUGCAAUAAGAUCUAUUUGUAAAACCCAAAACUGAGCCUUGUAUUAAAACAAAUCCCCCAUAUGGUGGCAGCCUUUUGAAAGAUAUGGGAAAAAACACCUUCCAUUUAAUGUUUGUUUUAACACAGUUGGAAAGAAACAUAGUGUAGAAUGGUUUCUCUUACUUCAGUGGGGAAAAAUGGUCAUCUGUGAUGCAGUUUCACAGGAACAGGUAAGUGAGUAAGAUUUCCUAACAGUAACAAGAUCACUUCAGUUCAGAUCUUAUUUCAAUAGGUGACUGUUUUUAGUCAUUCCAUUACUGCUCAAGUUCUUAAAAUAGUCACCCUCUUAGAUUAAGAAAUACAGACCCCACUUCAGUUACCAGUGUUGUUAAUGCUUCAGCGUAGGCUACACAGUAACUGUUGGAAAAGCUUGUUCCUUUUCCAAGAGAUAUUUCAGCUUCUAUUCAGCAAACUCUAAAAUCAGGUGCU